GCUGAACGGGGUUGGCUUCCGGGGGGCAAGGACCAAAAUUGUGAAGUAUCAAAUGGUAGACAUGAAGAUGCACCAACAAAUGCAGGGCCUGGCUGCAUCAUAUGAACUGUCGCUUAUACUCUGACUUGGAUGGUUGUGGGAAAAAUGGCAAAAGGUAAAUUAAUGGCAAAAGAAUUCAAUUUACCCGUGUCCUACUCCUUUGAACCAAUCGAACCAAUCCUCUCCGGUGGCCAAAUCUAAGAACAAAAACCCCUGUCAGUACUCGCACUUUGACCAGCAAGAAAAACAGAGUGACAAAAUUCCAAGGAGGAUGGCCCCCGAUACUCAUGCUGAUGCUGCCACAUUUCACAUUUGGUUAAUGCAUUAACAAAUUAGUCGUGGGGCCUGGAUUUGGGCCCUAAAUCUUAGGUUUUCUAAUUGCUAACAUAAACAAGUAGGAGUAUAGUAAACAAAAGCAAGAUAGGACCCAACCCACAUUGAGUGAGUAAACACUAAACAUUUUUCCGGCUACCAGAUGAUGCCAAAAAUAAUUUUAUGGCUUACGAGAUUCAAAUGAAAUCACACAUAUAAAUUGAUAUCUAGUGUGUGAAGACGAUUAUCGGCAAGACAAUGCAGUAGCUACAUAACAUGGUUAACUGAUAAAAAAUAUUUGUCGAGUUCAAACCAACGCUCAUUUAAUCCCUGAUUUUAUCCUGGUAAUUUUGACUGGCUUAGAAAAAGGCCUAAUAGACAGAGGAUGGCUUAGAAAAAUCCUAUUUUUGUGAAACAGUAAGCAAUCCUCUUUUCUGAGCACAGAGCCACUCAGGUGGCCUGCUUUUCUUCAGUUUUGAGAUCCAUAUUGCUCCUAUUUUCUUGUACAGCAUCCUCACAGGAUUAGUCCUUUCAAAGAAAUUAAAUCAUCUUCUUCCUUCUUCCUGUUACCAGGACUGUUGGUCCUUCUGCCAGGAGAAUUUGACUUCUUCCUGUUACCAGGACUUUUGGUCCUUCUGUUGCCAGGAGAAUUCCACUUCUUCUUUUGCUUCCCUUUUUCAGAUGGCACAUGAGCUUCAUCAGGACUCAGAGCAGAAUCAUGCAACUCCUUGCUGUUACCACGACACCUGUGCCUUCUAUUGCCAGGAGAAUUUGACUUGUUUUGCUUCGUUUUUUCAGAUGGCACAUGAGCUUCAAUAGGACUCGAAGCAGAACCAUCUUCCCCCUUCUUUCUGUUACCUCUGCGCCUGUGCCUCCUGCUGCCAGGAGAAUUCAAGGAUGGCCGGGAUGCUCCAUGUUGCUUCAGCUCUUGAUCGCCUUCUUCAGAUGGCAACUGCACUGCAACAGGACAAGAAUUCUCUUCUUCCUUGUUCUUCCUUUGUUUGUUGGCAGAAUCAUCACAGAACGAUGCACUUCCGACAUUCUUAGGCUGCUGUGUCAGCAGGGCUUCAACAUAUGGACUAUCAGCAUCAUCAUCCUUACCCUCAAAGAAAUUAAAUCAUCUUCUUCCUCCUCAUGCUGAAAACGAGCAAAAGUGUGCCUGAACCUAUCCAUACUAGUUUCAUGAUAGCAGAGGUGCCAAAAAAACGACAUCCAUGUGCUGCUCCCUGUCAAAUCUGGGUGUUCCUGAGCACAGAGAAGGUGGCCGCCAUCAGCUAUGAACUCAUCGGAAGGAAG
rnacentral:rRNA from 1 species